rnacentral:rRNA from 1 species
GACGAACGCUGGCGGCGUGCUUAACACAUGCAAGUCGAACGGAAAGGCCUGCUUUCCCUUGUGGAUUGCGGGUACUCGAGUGGCGAACGGGUGAGUAACACGUGAGUGAUCUGCCCCCAACUUGGGUAUAAGCCUGGGAAACUGGGUCUAAUUCCCGAUAGGACUGCAGGGUGGUGCCUGUGGUGGAAAACGAUUUUCUAGUGGUUGGGGUUGAGCUCGCGGCCUAUCAGCUUGUUGGUGGGGUAAUGGCCUACCAAGGCGGCGACGGGUAGCCGGCCUGAGAGGGUGGACGGCCACAUUGGGACUGAGAUACGGCCCAGACUCCUACGGGAGGCAGCAGUGGGGAAUAUUGCACAAUGGGCGGAAGCCUGAGGCAGCGACGCCGCGUGGGGGAUGACGGCCUUCGGGUUGUAAACUCCUUUCGACCGCGAGGAAGCCACCUGGUUGGAAGGGUGGUGACGGUAGUGGUAGAAGAAGCACCGGCUAACUACGUG